GAUGAACGCUGGCGGCGUGCCUAAUACAUGCGAGUCGAGCGAACGGACGCGAAGCUUGCUUCUCUGAUGUUAGCGGCAGAGGGGUGUGUAACACGUGGAACCCCUCCCUAUAAGUCUGGGAUAACUUCGGGAAACCGGCGAUUAUCCCGUAUAAUCUUUUGCACCGCAUGGUUCAAAAGUGAAAGACGGUGUUGCUGUCACUUCUAGCUGGAUCCGCGCUGCAUUAGCUAGUUGGUAAGGUAACGGCUUACCACGGCAACGAUGCAUAUCCGACCUGAGAGGGUGAUCGGCCACACUGGAACGGAGACAGGGUCCAGACGCCUACGGGAGGCAGCAGUAGGGAAUCGUCCGCAGUGGUCGAAAGCCUGACGGAACGACGCCGCGUGAGUUAUGAAGGUCUUCCGAUCGGAAAACUCUGUUAUUAGUUGAGAACAUAUGUGUAAGGAAAUGUACACAUCGUGACGGUACCGAAUCAGAAAGCCACGGCUAACUACGUG
rnacentral:rRNA from 1 species